rnacentral:rRNA from 1 species
CCUACGGGGGGCAGCAGUAGGGAAUCUUCCACAAUGGGCGAAAGCCUGAUGGAGCAACGCCGCGUGGGUGAAGAAGGUCUUCGGAUCGUAAAACCCUGUUGUUAGAGAAGAAAGUGCGUGAGAGUAACUGUUCACGUUUCGACGGUAUCUAACCAGAAAGCCACGGCUAACUACGUGCCAGCAGCCGCGGUAAUACGUAGGUGGCAAGCGUUAUCCGGAUUUAUUGGGCGUAAAGGGAACGCAGGCGGUCUUUUAAGUCUGAUGGGAAAGCCUUCGGCUUAACCGGAGUAGUGCAUUGGAAACUGGGAGACUUGAGUGCAGAAGAGGGGAGUGGAACUCCAGGUGUAGCAGUGAAAUGCGUAGAUAUAUGGAAGAACACCAGUGGCGAAGGCGGCUCUCUGGUCUGUAACUGACGCUGAGGUUCGAAAGCGUGGGUAGCGAACAGGAUUAGAUACCCUUGUAGUC